rnacentral:rRNA from 1 species
GACGAACGCUGGCGGCGUGCUUAACACAUGCAAGUCGAGCGGUAAGGCUCCUUCGGGAGUACACGAGCGGCGAACGGGUGAGUAACACGUGAGCAAUCUGCCCUUCUCAUCGGAAUAAGCGUGGGAAACCGCGUCUAAUGCCGAAUACGACCACCUUUCGCAUGAUCGGAGGUGGAAAGCUCCGGCGGAGAAGGAUGAGCUCGCGGCCUAUCAGCUAGUUGGUGAGGUAACGGCCCACCAAGGCGACGACGGGUAGCCGGCCUGGGAGGGUGGCCGACAGCACGGGGCCUAAGACCCGCCCCGACGCCGACCGGGAGGAAAGGGGGGAAAAUAAUGACCAUGGGGCGAAACCCUGUCCCAGAAAGGCCGGGGGAGGGAUAAGGGCUUUCGGGUUGUAACCCUCUUACCGCGGGGACAAAGGGAAAGUCCGGGUCCCUGCAGAAGAAGACCCGGCAAAUUAAUUGCACGCGCCCGCGUUAA